rnacentral:rRNA from 2 species
AUGACCCCAGGUCAGUCGGGACUACCCGCUGA